GACCAUCAUCAAGAGUUGGGACAGAUGCCCCACGCCAACCUGCCGAUCCGGGCAAGGUGGUUCUUCGAACAGAAGAUGCGGCCCUGAACUUUAAGUUCAAAGGCAACGAAUCGGAUCGAA
rnacentral:ncRNA from 2 species